AUUGAACGCUGGCGGCAGGCCUAACACAUGCAAGUCGAACGAGUGGCGGACGGGUGAGUAAUGUCUGGGAAACUGACUGAUGGAGGGGGAUAACUACUGGAAACGGUAGCUAAUACCGCAUACCAUCGGAUGUGCCCAGAUGGGAUUAGCUAGUAGGUGAGGUAACGGCUCACCUAGGCGACGAUCCCUAGCUGGUCUGAGAGGAUGACAAGCAAAACUGGAACUGAGACAAGGGCCAGACGCCGACGGGAGGCAGCAGGGGGGAAUAUUGAACAAUGGGCGCAAGCCUGAUGCAGCCAGGCCGCGUGUAUGAAGAAGGCCUUCGGGUUGUAAAAUACUUUAAGCGGGGAGGCGUUACCCGCAGAAGAAGCACCGGCUAACUCCGUGCCAGCAGCCGCGGUAAUUC
rnacentral:rRNA from 1 species